CUUACCGGAGGCGUUAUGGAUCCCGAUCCCACCCCUCUCUCCCGCUGGAGAGUAACUUUCCGGUAAGUCAGUUUUCACUGCCUUACCGAUUUGUGAGGCAGUGACAUU
rnacentral:ncRNA from 1 species